AAAUGACAGCAGUGAUGUCCUCUCUCUGUCUACUGGGACCAGGUUGAAAUGACAGCAGCGAUGUCCUCUCUCUGGGAGCAGGUUGAAAUGACAGCAGUGAUGUCCUCUCUCUGUCUACUGGGAGCAGGUUGAAAUGACAGCAGCGAUGUCCUCUCUCUGGGAGCAGGUUGAAAUGACAGCAGUGAUGUCCUCUCUCUGGGAGCAGGUUGAAAUGACAGCAGUGAUGUCCUCUCUCUGUCUACUGGGAGCAGGUUGAAAUGACAGCAGCGAUGUCCUCUCUCUGGGAGCAGGUUGAAAUGACAGCAGUGAUGUCCUCUCUCUGUCUAUUGGGAGCAGGUUGAAAUGACAGCAGCGAUGUCCUCUCUCUGGGAGCAGGUUGAAAUGACAGCAGUGAUGUCCUCUCUCUGGGAGCAGGUUGAAAUGACAGCAGUGAUGUCCUCUCUCUGUCUACUGGGAGCAGGUUGAAAUGACAGCAGCGAUGUCCUCUCUCUGGGAGCAGGUUGAAAUGACAGCAGUGAUGUCCUCUCUCUGGGAGCAGGUUGAAAUGACAGCAGCGAUGUCCUCUCUCUGUCUACUGGGAGCAGGUUGAAAUGACAGCAGCGAUGUCCUCUCUCUGGGAGCAGGUUGAAAUGACAGCAGCGAUGUCCUCUCUCUGUCUACUGGGAGCAGGUUGAAAUGACAGCAGUGAUGUCCUCUCUCUGUCUACUGGGAGCAGGUUGAAAUGACAGCAGCGAUGUCCUCUCUCUGGGAGCAGGUUGAAAUGACAGCAGUGAUGUCCUCUCUCUGGGAGCAGGUUGAAAUGACAGCAGUGAUGUCCUCUCUCUGUCUACUGGGAGCAGGUUGAAAUGACAGAAGUGAUGUCCUCUCUCUGUCUAUUGGGAGCAGGUUGAAAUGACAGCAGUGAUGUCCUCUCUCUGUCUAUUGGGAGCAGGUUGAAAUGACAGCAGUGAUGUCCUCUCUGUCUAUUGGGAGCAGGUUGAAAUGACAGCAGUGAUGUCCUCUCUCUGGGAGCAGGUUGAAAUGACAGCAGUGAUGUCCUCUCUCUGGGAGCAGGUUGAAAUGACAGCAGUGAUGUCCUCUCUCUGGGAGCAGGUUGAAAUGACAGCAGCGAUGUCCUCUCUCUGGGAGCAGGUUGAAAUGACAGCAGUGAUGUCCUCUCUCUGUCUAUUGGGAGCAGGUUGAAAUGACAGCAGUGAUGUCCUCUCUCUGGGAGCAGGUUGAAAUGACAGCAGUGAUGUCCUCUCUCUGUCUAUUGGGAGCAGGUUGAAAUGACAGCAGUGAUGUCCUCUCUCUGGGAGCAGGUUGAAAUGACAGCAGUGAUGUCCUCUCUCUGUCUAUUGGGAGCAGGUUGAAAUGACAGCAGCGAUGUCCUCUCUCUGUCUAUUGGGAGCAGGUUGAAAUGACAGCAGCGAUGUCCUCUCUCUGGGAGCAGGUUGAAAUGACAGCAGCGAUGUCCUCUCUCUGUCUAUUGGGAACAGGUUGAAAUGACAGCAGCGAUGUCCUCUCUCUGGGAGCAGGUUGACAUGACAGCAGUGAUGUCCUCUCUCUGGGAGCAGGUUGAAAUGACAGCAGUGAUGUCCUCUCUCUGUCUAUUGGGAGCAGGUUGAAAUGACAGCAGUGAUGUCCUCUCUCUGGGAGCAGGUUGAAAUGACAGCAGUGAUGUCCUCUCUCUGUCUAUUGGGAGCAGGUUGAAAUGACAGCAGCGAUGUCCUCUCUCUGUCUAUUGGGAGCAGGUUGAAAUGACAGCAGCGAUGUCCUCUCUCUGGGAGCAGGUUGAAAUGACAGCAGCGAUGUCCUCUCUCUGUCUAUUGGGAACAGGUUGAAAUGACAGCAGCGAUGUCCUCUCUCUGGGAGCAGGUUGACAUGACAGCAGUGAUGUCCUCUCUCUGGGAGCAGGUUGAAAUGACAGCAGUGAUGUCCUCUCUCUGGGAGCAGGUUGAAAUGACAGCAGUGAUGUCCUCUCUCUGUCUAUUGGGAGCAGGUUGAAAUGACAGCAGCGAUGUCCUCUCUCUGUCUAUUGGGAGCAGGUUGAAAUGACAGCAGCGAUGUCCUCUCUCUGGGAGCAGGUUGAAAUGACAGCAGCGAUGUCCUCUCUCUGUCUAUUGGGAACAGGUUGAAAUGACAGCAGCGAUGUCCUCUCUCUGGGAGCAGGUUGACAUGACAGCAGUGAUGUCCUCUCUCUGGGAGCAGGUUGAAAUGACAGCAGUGAUGUCCUCUCUCUGUCUAUUGGGAGCAGGUUGAAAUGACAGCAGUGAUGUCCUCUCUCUGUCUACUGGGAGCAGGUUGAAAUGACAGCAGUGAUGUCCUCUCUCUGUCUAUUGGGAGCAGGUUGAAAUGACAGCAGUGAUGUCCUCUCUCUGUCUACUGGGAGCAGGUUGAAAUGACAGCAGCGAUGUCCUCUGUCUAUUGGGAGCAGGUUGAAAUGACAGCAGCGAUGUCCUCUCUCUGGGAGCAGGUUGACAUGACAGCAGUGAUGUCCUCUCUCUGGGAGCAGGUUGAAAUGACAGCAGUGAUGUCCUCUCUCUGUCUAUUGGGAGCAGGUUGAAAUGACAGCAGUGAUGUCCUCUCUCUGGGAGCAGGUUGAAAUGACAGCAGUGAUGUCCUCUCUCUGUCUAUUGGGAGCAGGUUGAAAUGACAGCAGCGAUGUCCUCUCUCUGGGAGCAGGUUGAAAUGACAGCAGUGAUGUCCUCUCUCUGGGAGCAGGUUGAAAUGACAGCAGUGAUGUCCUCUCUCUGUCUACUGGGAGCAGGUUGAAAUGACAGCAGUGAUGUCCUCUCUCUGUCUAUUGGGAGCAGGUUGAAAUGACAGCAGUGAUGUCCUCUUUCUGUCUACUGGGACCAGGUUGAAAUGACAGCAGCGAUGUCCUCUCUCUGGG